GCUGGAGUACAGUGGCGUGAUCUCAGCUCGCUACAACCUCCAUCUCCCAGCCGCCUGCCUUGGCCUCCCAAAGUGCCGAGAUUGCAGCCUCUGCCCGGCCACCACCCCGUCUGGGAAGUGAGGAGCGUCUCUGCCUGGCCGCCCAUCGUCUGGGACGUGAGGAGCCCCUCUGCCUGGCUGCCCAGUCUGGAAAGUGAGGAGCGUCUCUGCCCGGCCGCCAUCCCAUCUAGGAAGUGAGGAGCGCCUCUUCCCGGCAGCCAUCCCAUCUGGGAAGUGAGGAGCGUCUCUGCCCGGCCGCCCAUCGUCUGAGAUGUGGGGAGCGCCUCUGCCCCGCCGCCCCGUCUGGGAUGUGAGGAGUGCCUCUGCCCGGCGGCGACCCCGUCUGGGAGGUGAGGAGCGUCUCUGCCCAGCCGCCCCGUCUGAGAAGUGAGGAGACCCUCCACCCAGCAUCCGCCCCAUCUGAGAAGUGAGGAGCCCCUCCGCCCGGCAGCCACCCCGUCUGGGAAGUGAGGAGCGUCUCCGCCCGGCAGCCGCCCAGUCCGGGAGGGAGGUGGGGGGGUCAGCCCCCCGCCCGGCCAGCCGCCCCAUCCGGGAGGGAGGUGGGGGGGUCAGCCCCC
rnacentral:lncRNA from 10 species